GAUGAAGAACGUAGCGAAAUGCGAUAAGUAAUGUGAAUUGCAGAAUUCAGUGAAUCAUCGAAUCUUUGAACGCACAUUGCGCCCGCCAGCAUUCUGGCGGGCAUGCCUGUUCGAGCGUCAUUUCAACCCUCGAGCCCCCCCGGGGGCCUCGGUGUUGGGGGACGGCACACCAGCCGCCCCCGAAAUGCAGUGGCGACCCCGCCGCAGCCUCCCCUGCGUAGUAGCACACACCUCGCACCGGAGCGCGGAGGCGGUCACGCCGUAAAACGCCCAACUUUCUUAGAGUUGACCUCGGAUCAGGUAGGAAUACCCGCUGAACUUAAGCAUAUUAAUAAGCGGAGGA
rnacentral:misc_RNA from 1 species